rnacentral:rRNA from 1 species
UAGUACCGAAGUUCCUGAUCCUACACUGCCUAGAAAAGCCUCUAGCGAGGUGAGAGGUGCCCGUACCGCAAACCGACACAGGUAGGCGAGAAGAGAAUUCUAAGACGCUCGGGAGAACUCUCGUUAAGGAACUCGGCAAAAUGACCCCGUAACUUCGGGAGAAGGGGUGCUCUAUUAGGGUGCAAGCCCGAGAGAGCCGCAGUGAAAAGAUCCAAGCGACUGUUUAGCAAAAACACAGGUCUCUGCGAAGCCGUAAGGCGAAGUAUAGGGGCUGACACCUGCCCGGUGCUGGAAGGUUAAGAGGAGGGGUUAUCCCUUACGGGAGAAGCUCUGAAUUGAAGCCCCAGUAAACGGCGGCCGUAACUAUAACGGUCCUAAGGUAGCGAAAUUCCUUGUCGGGUAAGUUCCGACCCGCACGAAUGGUGUAACGAUUUGGAUACUGUCUCAACGAGAGACCCGGUGAAAUUAUAGUACCUGUGAAGAUGCAGGUUACCCGCGACAGGACGGAAAGACCCCAUGGAGCUUUACUGUAGCUUGAUAUUGGAUGUUGGUACAGUUUGUACAGGAUAGGUAGGAGCCUUGGAAGCGUGAGCGCCAGCUUACGUGGAGGCGUCGGUGGGAUACUACCCUGACUGUGCUGACAUUCUAACCUCGAGCCGUGAUCCGGUUCAGGGACAGUGUCAGGUGGGCAGUUUGACUGGGGCGGUCGCCUCCUAAACAGUAACGGAGGCGCCCAAAGGUUCCCUCAGAAUGGUUGGAAAUCAUUCGUAGAGUGCAAAGGCAAAAGGGAGCUUGACUGCGAGACCUACAAGUCGAGCAGGGACGAAAGUCGGGCUUAGUGAUCCGGUGGUUCCGCAUGGAAGGGCCAUCGCUCAACGGAUAAAAGCUACCCUGGGGAUAACAGGCUUAUCUCCCCCAAGAGUCCACAUCGACGGGGAGGUUUGGCACCUCGAUGUCGGCUCAUCGCAUCCUGGGGCUGAAGUAGGUCCCAAGGGUUGGGCUGUUCGCCCAUUAAAGCGGUACGCGAGCUGGGUUCAGAACGUCGUGAGACAGUUCGGUCCCUAUCCGUCGCGGGCGCAGGAAAUUUGAGAGGAGCUGUCCUUAGUACGAGAGGACCGGGAUGGACACACCGCUGGUGUACCAGUUGUUCCGCCAGGAGCAUAGCUGGGUAGCUACGUGUGGACGGGAUAAGUGCUGAAAGCAUCUAAGCAUGAAGCCCCCCUCAAGAUGAGAUUUCCCAUGGAGUUAAUCCAGUAAGACCCCUUAGAGAUGAUGAGGUUGAUAGGUCUGGUGUGGAAGCGUGG